UACGGGGGGGGGCAAGCGUUGUUCGGACUUACUGGGCGUAAAGGGUUUGUAGGUGGCUUGCUAAGUCAGACGUGAAAUCCCUCAGCUUAACUGGGGAACUGCGUCUGAGACUGGCAAGCUUGAGUGCAGGAGAGGAACGCGGAAUUCCAGGUGUAGCGGUGAAAUGCGUAGAUAUCUGGAGGAACACCGGUGGCGAAGGCGGCGUUCUGGACUGUAACUGACACUGAUGAACGAAAGCCAGGGGAGCAAACGGG
rnacentral:rRNA from 1 species